rnacentral:rRNA from 1 species
GACGGGGGAUGCGAGCGUUAUCCGGAAUGAUUGGGCGUAAAGCGUCCGCAGGUGGCACUUCAAGUCUGUCGUCAAAGACUGGGGCUUAACCCUGGAAAGGCGGUGGAAACUGAAGCGCUAGAGUGCGGUAGGGGUAGAGGGAAUUCCCGGUGUAGCGGUGAAAUGCGUAGAGAUCGGGAAGAACAUCGGUGGCGAAAGCGCUCUACUGGACCGCAACUGACACUCAGGGACGAAAGCUAGGGGAGCGAAUGGG